rnacentral:lncRNA from 1 species
CUGCCCCUUCCUGCCGCCGCGGCGAGUGCUUGGUCUCUGGUAAGCCGAGUGCCCCGCUCCUGGGAGCGGCCUUUGCUCUGCUCGGACCUCUCGUUUUGGUAGCUUGUCCCCAGUUAACGGCCGGGAGUUUCCCUGUACACAGCUCUCGUUUUCUCUUCAGCUUGGGAGCUUGUUGCAAGGGGCGCCAGAGCCCUGCAGGGCAGGUGCUGCUUUGUUUCCCUCUUCUCCCACCUAGUACCGUAUCCYGCAUUUGUKAACUCCUGCCUUGGAACYGGACACAGCGGCAUCACCUGGCGCRGCCUUYGCAGCCCAGGGAUGGGUCCCUGGUUGCGGUUUACUUCCAGCGCAGAAGUUUGGCUCCUCCUUUAAGUCAUGGAACCAGCUGCUGUUCCAGCUUAGAAGUGCAGCCCCAGGUUUCAGCAAGAGCCCGGUGACUCCUUUCCAUCUCUGCCCUGCGAGGGAGGCAGUCGGCACAGAGGAACUGUGCCGAGAGGCAUCCGGGCACCGCAUCGCGGCAGAGGAAGCCUGUUGGCAGCCGGGACCCRGCGCUUUCAGAAAGGGAUGCAGGGAUGACAGCUGCCUCUCAUCUGGGACGUGUUGGAAAAGAAGCRAGUAGAAGUUAAGCUGGCAAGUGUAGGAACUUCUUCUGGUGGGAGRAAUGCCAGYGGAUCGCCCAGGUGGGUUUUAGUUACCCUCUGCCUUAGCCCUGCUCAGGCUGCUGAGCCGAGACACUGACCGUGGCUUUAUACUUAAGGAAGACGCGAAGGACGGCUUUGUGCCAGCCCUCCACGGGGUUUCUGCUAUGUAACGCYGCCUCUAGCAACAAGCUGGAGAGGAGCUCGAGACRCCUGGGUCGGAGAUGCCCUGCGAGCUUUGCCCUUGCAGACAGGGGACCUCGGCUGGCUCCCGGGGCUGCGUCAGGUGAACAAGCCUGGCCAGGCACAGAGCGGCCGCACAGGAGCGUCUCUGCCAGGCCGGUCUCUGCUCAGA